rnacentral:rRNA from 1 species
AUUGACCGCUGGCGGCAGGCCUAACCCAUGCAAGUCGAGCGAGCGGCGGACGGGUGAGUAAUGCCUGGGAAUUGCCCAGUCGAGGGGGAUAACAGGUGGAAACGACUGCUAAUACCGAAUACGAUUAGAUUGCCCAGGUGGGAUUAGCUAGUUGGUGAGGUAAUGGCUCACCACGGCGACGAUCCCUAGCUGGUCUGAGAGGAGGAUCAGCCACACUGGAAGGGAGACACUGUCCAGACUCCGAGGGGAGGCAGCAGUGGGGAAUAUUGCACAAUGGGGGAAACCCUGAUGCAGCCAUGCAGCGUGUGUGAAGAAGGCCUUCGGGUUGUAAAGCACUUUCAGCGAGGAGGCGUUACUCGAAGAAGAAGCACCGGCUAACUCCGUGCCAGCCGCCGCGGUAAUUC